UGGUGCGGUGCGGGGGUGCGGCAGGGAGAGCCCCCGGCCCGCGGAGGGCUGCGGGAAGUUGGGCGCUGCGCUCCUCGCUCCGCCGCCCCCUCACAGGAAAACUGGGCGGAAGCGUCGGCUUCGGGCUCCUUCCGCCGCCACUGCGCGAUCCAAAAUAACCGCAGGGGAGCGGGGCGGAGGGAAGUGGGUGGCCCCCCCGCACACCCCUCCCUUACACUCCUCCCGCUGCCCGGCCGGGUGCGCCGCUCUCCCUGAGCCCCGCUGCCGCUCGGCUCUCCCAAAGUAGUUCCCGCGGCUCUGCCUCACGCCAUUCCCGGGAGCCGCCGCGGAGGGAUACGUGCCACAGCGCUGUGAGCUGAGUGCUGAGUGGGGCGCCGCGCGGGCCGGGACCGGCGGGCUGAUGGGUACCCCGCGGGGGAGCUGUCGCCGGGAUCCAUGUGCGCCGGGCCCGCGGGAUGGAGGCGCGAAGAGGGGCAGAUUCCUGCCAAUGAAGUCUUGAGAUAUUGUCUGCUUGCUGCUGUGCCCUCCUGAAUGAACCUAGUAAUUACCUGUAUUCAAACUGAUAACAAUCUGAGCAGCACUCCUCCUUGUGUUCCAGGUAUUAGUUAAGGCAGUCCUGAAGCUAUCUGACCCUGGGACAAACAAGAGCUGCGGAAUGUAAAAGCAGCAGCCUCUCCUGUUGACGAAACCUCUGGACAUUUCAGCCGGAUUCACUUAGAUUCAGAUAGAUCAGAUUGCUUUUCCUUUGUUCUUUAAUCUUUCCACCACUCUUUUUCCUUCCUCCUAUAAUGUCAAUAAUGUUGAUUUUUGUUUUAUCUCCCAUUAGUAAUAGAGCCAAUCAAUGGCUUUCAGGACUGGUGACAGCUGACAUUUACUAUGGAAUAACCCAAUCUGCCAUAUCAUUGCCAUCUCCCAUGCUGGCCAUAACUAUACUUCACUGCUCAUAAAGAUGCUAGUGAUUACUUAUAUCAAUUGAAACACAUGCAGUAAGCUUUGACAGCAUCAUAAUGAAUCUUCUGAGGACAGUUCUCUUGUGGUUCAGAUGCUUCGCUGUUUCUCUCAGAUUCUUCAUUUUCAAGUCUACCACUUAGUUUUUCACAGUCUUUUGUCAUUUGCUCAGAGUUAAGGUGAAGAAAUGUGAAGUUCUAAAGCUGAUGCAUCUAUUGCUUUCCAAAUUCCACAGAGAUUCUUCAAACACUGUGCAGCAAAGUAAAUUUCUCCAGCAAGUCAAGCUAAUAUGAAUGAAAAAAAGAAUCCAAAAAUCACUGAUGUAAAAUUAUGUAUUUUCACGAUCAAAAGGCUCUCAUGGGAUAGAGAAACACACAAUAUAUGCUGCUCUGAAAUUACUCAGAACAGCUGAAGAAUUCAUCCUGCUAUUCUUAGAAACAGUUCUGAGAACACUGCCUUUGCUGUAUGAUCACAAAUAAAUCCUAUUUCAGCACAAAAUCCACAAAGACUCUGAAGGUGGCGCCUUUCUGUGGCACCUUCAGAUCAGGAUACCCUAUUCCAUGAUUUUGGAUGAAUCCUUGAAUCUUUCUGAGCAGAAUUGUUACUAUCACAUCACUGCCAUCCUGAUAAUAGAUAAUAGCUCUCUUCUCAUUGUUGACUGAAUAAUCACCAGCUGAAAAAUGCAGUAGCUAGUAUCAAACUGUACGCAGGGAGCAGGAGUUUCAAUAUGCAUCAACCAACAUGAUGAACAGCUCUAAGAUGAAAUGGUUUUCUCUGACUUGAAAUAAUCUAUUUUUAAUAUUAAAUUUUUAAACAUGAGACUGAGUAAUUAUGUAGUUAUUCAUGUAGAAGCUCUUCCCGUAUUACGUGCUUCUCAGACUGCACCUAACAAAGUGUGACUAGCAUUUAAAAUAUAUCCCUUUCCUGAUCGCCCCAUCCACAGAAAACAUUUCAAGGAAAGAUCCAAUACACAGGAGGUAACUUCUACUCUUAUUCAUAUUUACUUGAAAUCCAUCUUUUUAGAUUUCAAAGUUGUUCCUGAGCUCACUUCGCACUGAUUUUGCAUUCUCUUCCUCUCUUCUUUUUCCACCCUUCUAUGAAUCAUUCUUUCACGCAUACCACACGUUCUUUCAAACAAAUGCGACCUGUAAUUCUUAUACAAAAACUGGAAUUAGUGAAAAUUUGAUAUUUUCCUAACAGUUUCAUUGAAGAUUUCUACUUCAGACAUACUUCCUCUGCAAUAUAUUACUAAUUUAGUAUCCUAAAUAAGAUAGUAUCCUAAAUAGGCCGAGACUUCCAUCAGACUAUUUGCAUGAGAAAGCUUUCUCUAAUAAAGCCAUGUAAUCAUAUAGUGCAGACUAUUCCUGUAAAACACCUAAGUAAAUUUUUUUACACCAUUUUCAUGUUCUGCUAUUUUGGAUCUGCCAUCAUUAGGAUCAAGAUCUGAAAUGACCCUUCAAUAAUACCCUAUUUUUUUUGUUAGAGUUGUAACACCCUUAUGGUAUGAAGUCCAUUACUCUGUCAUAUACUACAAAUCAGGAAAUGGUGUGGAAUCAUAUUUGCCCAUUGCUAUUUUCUUUAUGUCAUUUGUAUAUUUUUUCCUUAUUUUUUUUUUCCGUUUACGAUCCUUUUGUUUCCUACAGAAGAGGCUGAGCUACCAGAAAUCAAUAUAUAAAAAAGCUAAGCAAUAUACAUGAACAGUCAAAAAAAAAAAAAAAAAAAAAAAGUGGAGACCAGCGCUCUGCUCUGUGAGAAGUUUGUAGAAAAAGACAUUAAUAAAAAGUAAUUAACUGUGCCCACGUAUGUUCCUCUUGUUUGAAAUACAGUUUCAGAUCUUAUCUGAAAUUAAGAAACAUACAAACACAAACCUACAUAUGCAACUAAUUUCAUCAAAGGGAUGGGAGAGGUGACUAGAAGCGAUCAAAUGCUGAAGCCAUACUUUGCCACAAGAAAAAGUGAGCAUCUGGGAGUGGAAGGGGUAAAAAAAAAAUUUGCCCAUAUGUUCUAAUUAUUGACAUUCAAUGCCUUUGUCAUCUGCCAAGAGUGGGGAAACAUAACAGCAAGUAUACUGUCCUCACAGAAAUGUCUGAUGGUUUCUUUCCCCAUAUUUCAUUUUAAAAAGUAAUAGAUCAUAAAAGACUACCGUGUAAGAAUCAAGGCGAUGCUGUCCCUUCCAGUUAUGGUUUCAUCCAGAACCUACAAAGGGUCAGGAAGGCUCUAGAAGAUGGACCUUGCACUUAUGGAGAAACUGAUGGACUUGUCCUGUGACUAUAAAGAUUUCAGUUCUAAUAUUCUGUAAUAUAAUACCAGUUUCUUGAGAUUUCCCUUGCCUGGGGCAGGGAGGGGCUGAGCUGUGAGCUCAGAGUUGGCAGUACUGGCAGCACUUCCCCCCCAAGUUUGUCUCCUUUUUCUCCCAGUGCCACAUCACAUGUGUGUGGGACAUGUUUUUCACCACAGUGAGAAAUAAAUUUAACUCACAGGACUCUUAUUACUCAAAUGGAAUGAGGCAUAUAUUUAAUAUCAGCGCCGGCAUUUUUGGAAAGCUUUGUCAGUUAUGUUUCCUGCUGCAUUCAGAAUUCUCAUCUGCUCAAUAAAACAGUUCCU